GGCGACUCUCUGGUCUGUAACUGACGCUGAGGAGCGAAAGCGUGGGGAGGCGAACAGGAUUAGAUACCCUGGUAGUCCACGCCGUAAACGAUGAAUGCUUAGUGUUAGGGGGUUUCCGCCCCUUAUUGCUGCAGCUACCGCAUUAAUCACUCCGCCUGGGGAGUACGGCCGCAAGACUGAAACUCACUGGAAUUGACGGGGGCCCGCCCAAGCGUUGGAGCAUGUGGUUUAAUUCUAAGCAGCGCAAAAAACCUUCACCACGUCUUGACAUCCUCUGACGAUCCUAAAAAUAGGACGUCCCCUUCGGGGGCACAAUGACAGGUGGUGCAUGG
rnacentral:rRNA from 1 species